CCAAUAGCGUAUAUUAAAGUUGUUGCAGUUAAAAAGCUCGUAGUUGAACUUCAGGCCCGGUCGGACGGUCCGCCUUCUGGGUGUGUACUGUCUCGGUUGGGUCCUACCUUCUGGCGAAGCGGCAUGGCCUUAAUUGACCGUGUCGGGGAACCAGGACUUUUACUGUGAAAAAAUUAGAGUGUUCAAAGCAGGCAUGUUAGCUUGAAUACAUUAGCAUGGAAUAAUGGAAUAGGACGAUGGUUCUAUUUUGUUGGUUUCUAGGACCGUUGUAAUGAUUAAUAGGGAUAGUUGGGGGCAUUAGUAUUCAAUUGUCAGAGGUGAAAUUCUUGGAUUUAUUGAAGACUAACUACUGCGAAAGCAUUUGCCAAGGAUGUUUUCAUUAAUCAAGAACGAAAGUUAGGGGAUCGAAGACGAUCAGAUACCGUCGUAGUCUUAACCAUAAACUAUGCCGACUAGGAAUCGGGCGAUGUUAAAAAAUGACUCGCUCGGCACCUCAUG
rnacentral:rRNA from 1 species